rnacentral:rRNA from 1 species
AUGGCCAAGGCGGGUGGUGGUGCGCCACAGCAGCGGCUGGCCGGUGGGCGGGCCGGCCGGAAUCCGGAGGCUACGGCGGCUGGACGACGGCAGGCAGCGCAGUUGGGUUCCUCAGUGGGCUUCCUUCGCGAUUGGCGGCGGUCCUUCGGGUCUCUUCUUGCCGGUGGGCGGGUGUACGUUGGUGGCCUCGCGUGGAGCUGCGUUCGCCGCCGAGGUGGGGCGACACAUGAGGUGUCCGGUGGGGAGGCAGGCUGGAGGGAUGGGAGGCACCGACGAGCUCGGGCCACCCGUCGCUGGCACAAGGGUGUGCUGGCCCGGAUGCGUCUGCUCCCCCUCCUCUCCCGUUCCCCGACCGUGUGUGGGCCACGGCUCCAGCGUUGUUCGAGGCGGGCUGUAUGCUGCGGUCUCUUCGGCUGGGUGUGCCCUUUGGCCCAAAGCCGGUCACUUUGGUCGGUCUUGGGGGUGUCUGGAUGCAGGGCGGCGGCCCUGGCGGCGGGAGGCACAGCGUUCGUGGGCGAAACUUGCGCCUCGGGUGCGGGCGAGCGGCCAUGGCCACGCGGGUGGGUGGUCGCUGGUGGUUGGCGGAGCUAG